CUGACGAGCACGCCGCGUGAGUGAGAGGUUUUCGGAUCGUAAAGCUCUGUUGUAAGAGAAGAACGGGUGUGAGAGUGGAAAGUUCACACUGUGACGGUAUCUUACCAGAAAGGGACGGCUAACUACGUGCCAGCAGCCGCGGUAAUACGUAGGUCCCGAGCGUUGUCCGGAUUUAUUGGGCGUAAAGCGAGCGCAGGCGGUUAGAUAAGUCUGAAGUUAAAGGCUGUGGCUUAACCAUAGUAUGCUUUGGAAACUGUUUAACUUGAGUGCAGAAGGGGAGAGUGGAAUUCCAUGUGUAGCGGUGAAAUGCGUAGAUAUAUGGAGGAACACCGGUGGCGAAAGCGGCUCUCUGGUCUGUAACUGACGCUGAGGCUCGAAAGCGUGGGGAGCAAACA
rnacentral:rRNA from 1 species